GACUCCAAUCUCCUAGGAGUGGAAGGUUAUAAAGUAAAUAUUGGGAGUUAAUUUUCUGUCUCCCACUGAAUCACAAACAGGAGGACUUGGGGCCCAAAGGUGAGGUCCAGGCAACUGUAAUGAAAGAAAAAUGGAGUCACCUGCCUGAGCCUGAGUGACCGGGGCUCCCCCAGGUCAGCUGGUCCUGUGGCUGGAUCGGAGCCUGGUCCUGACCCAGAAAAUUGAUUCAUCCUCCGACUGGGAUGCUUGGGAGACUGGAAGAUGGCACUGGGAGUAAUGAC
rnacentral:lncRNA from 10 species